GAUGAACGCUGGCGGCGUGCUUAACACAUGCAAGUCGAACGAAGCACUUUUGAUUCUUCGGAAGAGGAAGUGACUGAGUGGCGGACGGGUGAGUAACGCGUGGGUAACCUGCCUUAUACAGGGGGAUAACAGUUAGAAAUGACUGCUAAUACCGCAUAAGCCGAUAGAGUCGCAUGAUUGAGUCGGAAAAGAUUUAUCGGUAUAAGAUGGACCCGCGUCUGAUUAGCUAGUUGGUGAGGUAAUGGCCCACCAAGGCGAAGAUCAGUAGCCGGCUUGAGAUAGUGAACGGCCACAUUGGGACUGAGACACGGCCCAAACUCCUACGGGAGGCAGCAGUGGGGAAUAUUGCACAAUGGGGGAAACCCUGAUGCAGCAACGCCGCGUGACGGAAGAAGUAUUUCGGUAUGUAAACUUCUAUCAGCAGGGAAGAAAAUGACGGUACCUGACUAAGAAGCCCCGGCUAACUACGUGCCAGCCGCCGCCGUAA
rnacentral:rRNA from 1 species